AAAUAUAAUAAACUAUACCUUCUCCUUUGCUUAUAAAACGGGAAGGAUGUACGGUACACAAAGAUCCAGAUCAAGCUCAUGGAAACCAAAAAUAACUAAGAUCUCUUUUGUUCAAUAGUCAAUACUAUAGCCGAGAUCGAUCUUUAGAAAGAUCUGGUCGAUGGUUCCAUCGCAAGGCGGCCGGACUGGGGGGUCUGCCUUGACGGUUCGAGUCUCUCCGAGCAUGGUACCGGUAUGCAUUAACCAUCCUUAAUCUCAUUAAUUGAUAUCUUCUAGGCUAUGAUAUAAAAGUAAAAAAAAAAAAAAAAUAGACAUGAUUUUGAGUUAGAUAUACUGAAACUAUGAUUAAUGUGGGCAUUGCAGAUUAGUUUCCGGGUAAACCAUAUGGAGAAGGGAAGAUAACGAGAUCGAUCUCUAGACGUGGAUGGGAUGGAUGUGCGGUUCAAAGAUGGAAUCUACAUAUAUAGGUUCACAUGCGGGUUAUAGUUAAAUCGGAAUAAAGUUUUUGAUAAGUGGACUGUUCUUACCUAAGUGGGGAUGAUAGUCCAGUCUUGUAUCACAUUUAUAUAUUUGGGUUUAGCAUAUAGAAUCAUUAUCAAAUGUGUUAGGAUAUUUUCCACUUAAGUUUCGUUCAUCCCAAUCCCCACAUUACCUCUAAAGGUGUCUCAAAAGGCAAGUCAUUUUUUCUGGCUAUUCAAUUCAGCUUCGAUUACUACUAAUCAGAUACUACUUUUCCACUAUUGUGUUCCUCCUAAUUUGUUAAGUGUUUGUAGUGGCAAAAAGGUUUAAUAUAAUGGAAUUCUUAGUUAAGUUUUUAGUAUGUAUGAAUAUGAUAUGUUUUUUUAUAUUGUAAAGUAGGUUACCAACUUCACUAGAAAUCUGUCAAAAAGCUACAUAUUUAUUAAUGCCCAAGAAAAAAACAACAUCUAGCAGUUUCCAUGAUAAAAAUUUGUGAGUUUGGAGAGCACUUGUUGGUACCAUACAACAAGCAGACUAUGGAGACUCGAAGUAGCUAGGAUCGAGAGCAGCAAGCGAGAUUGGUGAAAACCUUUCAAACUGAGUCAAUAAAAGUGCAAGAGCUCGAGAAGAGAUGAUCCCGAGUCAUGGGUUACAAGUUUGGUUUGACUUGAGGUUUUAA
rnacentral:lncRNA from 1 species